rnacentral:lncRNA from 1 species
AAAUAUAAUAUAUUUUAAUUAUAUGUAGUCUGAGUGAGUAAUCUGAGUUUAGUUAAAUUUGGGCCAACAUUGCCGGCCCAUAAAAACAAACUAACCAAGACAACAAAAGGGUAAAAUCCUACUAAAUUUACACUCUCUUUCUUUCUUUCUUUCACAUAGCCAUAAAUUUUUAAUCUCUCUCUCUCUCUCUCUCUCUCUCUCUCCUUUUUUCUCUCACCCCAAGCAGCCAAGCCUGAAGCCCCCAAAUUAUCAAGUAACAACACGCGCUCGCCGUUGCCUACCUUGCCAUUAGCUAUGUGUUUGAAAAAAUAUACAAAAUAUUUUUAAGGUAAACAAAUUAUUAUUUAUACAAAAUUAUGAUUUUAGUUAUAUAUGAUUGGAUAGUUUAAUCCAAUAUUUGCUUAUAUAAUUUAUUCAUUUUUUGACCACAUAGAUAAGAAAGAAUAAUAUAGAAACUGAAGGCGGAAUAGAAGACAUGCGAGAUUGAAAAGGUUAGAUAUUCAACUCAUCAGUUAUUUUUGUUCAUAUUAUAAUACCGUAUUUCAUAUAAUUAUUUUAUAUUUUGAAUUAUUAGACAUAUUUUUAUAUCAAAUUAUAGAUAAUGUUAUAUACAAAUUAAACUAUUGAUCGUACAAUGUUGAGAAUUUCAAACAGUUGGUUUAGGGCUCUUGCUCGCUCGACUCGAAAUUAGACUCGUUUGAGCUCGGCUUAAAUUAAUUUCCAGCUAAACUUGAGCCUAAAUUUAUGCUAAAAAUUAAUUUCAAAUCGAAUUUAAGCUAAGAUCGGUCGAACACGGCUUGUUUAAUUCCACCCCUAACCUCAACUUCCAAACUCUUUUGAACGUUUGAUGACCACUUCAACUACAGGCAAUUAGGCAAAAACACUCUAGUGCAUUAGAUUUUUUUAAAUAUACAAAUAAGUGUAGAGAAAAAUAUUAUAAAAUACUAUUUUUAUAAAAUUUAGAGUAGUAAGAGAUAAUUUAGAAAUGAUUUGUGGUGAAAUUAGAAUGAAAACAAGACUUUUGAAAUUUUUAUAUGAAACAGAAAUAAUAUUUCAGCUGAAAAAUCCACAAUGGUGAAAAAUUGUAAAACUUUGAAAGUUGAUUGUACCAUUUUUUUGAGGCCAGAUUUAAAGUUUCAUGUUAUUUAGAUAUCUGAGCAAUGAAAACGGAGUCGCGCAAAGAGCAAUCUAUUGAAGAUUUUAGCCGGCAGAGCUUUCGGUGGUAUAAAAUGAUCCAAAAUUGAAAAUUUAAGACAAAUUACUUCUGAUUAAUUUUAUUUGAGUCUGCCUGUCAAAUUUGAGUGCAAAUCGACAUUCAAAAAGGCUUCAGUUGGAUGUACCAAAUUAAAAUUGUACUGAAGAUAGAAGU